GAGAUUCCAGGACUAGCAUGGGUAGGUCCACUAUCAUUAGUGUGCUCGCUGGUGUGCGACCUCAUUCCCAAGGCGAUGUGGAACCAAUGGCAAGGUGGGAUUUUUCAAGAGUUUAGUAAAUGUAACAGCCACUGUCAAUGCUUUUUAGACAGGCUACCAGACUUGAUGAGGCCUGAAGCAGGAGGGAACAAUGACCAAGGAGGAUGGAGGCAGGAGCCCGCCAUGGGGGCCAACUUGUCUCCAGACAAGCUCAGAUGUGGGUCCAGGAAGAGAGUGACAGAUGAACAUAAGGGGUAGCUGUGAUCAAUGUAUUUCACACACGUGUGAGAGUGCCAUGGCGCGCGCGCGCGCGCACGCACACACACACACACACACACACACGCACGCAUGAGAGUGUCAUAGCAAAGCACAUGAUUUACACAACUAAUCCAUUCUAAUAAAAGUUCUCUGUGUAGCCCUGGCUGUACUGGAACUUGCUCUAUAGACCAGGCUGGCCUCAAACUCACAGAUCUCUGCCUGCCUCUGCCUCCCAAGUGCCGGGAUUAAAAGUGUACACCAUGACCACCCAGCUAAUACAAGAUUUAAAAAUGUGACCAGGACAGAAAGGUUGUAUAUGCUAAAUAAAAAUAUCCUGAUUCUAAAUGUUAGGCUUUUAAUCUCUAUGCUUCAAAAAAAGACCUAAAGGUUUAAGGGGAGAAACGCCUCACUCUGAAUUAAUAAGUACACACUCAUAGUCAGACUUUCAGAGACUAAUAAAGACUCUGAGGGUGUU
rnacentral:lncRNA from 1 species